rnacentral:rRNA from 1 species
AUGCGGAAGGCGUACAGGGACUCCCUCAAGGUGCUCGAAGCUGACAUCCAGCACGCCAACACCCUGGCGACUGAAUUUCCGCGGGAGUACGAUGGGGCGUGCCUGCAGAUGCGGCUGUCGUUUAGCCCCGCCGCGCACAUAUUCCUCUUCCUGGUGCAGUGGACGGACUGCAGCCUCGCUGGGGCUCUCGGAUUGAUGAGGAUCCUCAUAUACAAGGUCUACGUCGAUGGCACAACCACCAUGUCGACCCAUGAGAGGAAAGCCAGCAUCAAGGAAUUCUAUGCUGUAAUAUUUCCUUCUUUGCUGCAACUGCAAAGAGGGAUCACUGAUAUGGAGGACAAGAAGCAGAAGGCCGUGUGUAUGGAGAGGUACAGAAGGAGAGAUGAAGACGAAACAAGCAGCUUAUCUGAUGUUGAUGCUGAGUGGGAGGAGGAAUGUGGGAUCUGCAUGGAGAUGAACAGCAAAGUUGUGUUGCCCAACUGCACACAUGCGAUGUGUCUCAGAUGCUAUCAGGACUGGAACUCGAGGUCACAGUCCUGCCCAUUCUGCCGCGACAACUUGAAGAAGACUGACCCUGGUGACUUGUGGAUUUACGUCGAGGACGAUGACGUGGUCGACAUGGAGACGGUAUCAAGAGAGAACCUCAGACGGCUGUUCAUGUACAUAAACAAGCUCCCUCUGAUCGUGCCUGAUGUCAUCUUCAGUGUCUAUGAUUCCCACAUAAAAUGA